GCCCUGAGGAGGGGGGGUCAUGACAUAGUUAAUGACACAUAAGGGGCAUUAUUACAGGGGGCGGGGGGCUGCCUGUGGGAGGACUAGGUAAGAGCCAAGGAGGGAAGUGUGCUCCAUCCCAUGCAAGAGCCACGGUCGCCACUGGUAGCUGGCCGGCUGACUAGUGUCCAGAGGCAGCAGGCAGAGGCAUGGCGGUUCACGGGUGAGGAGCCUGGGCGGUGAACCCAAGCCCCUGUAGCCAUAUCAACACCGGAAGCUGAGUUAGGACUGGAAUUCACCGCCCUGCAGCUUCCUGCUAACAGGAUCCAAGCCCGUGGACACCAACAACUGAUUUGUUUGUUUUCCUCUGUCUUUUUCCAUGGCUGUAUGGACUGCCUCAUCUCAACUUCUAAACAAAACCCGAAAACUUACAAAACUAAGUGCUUUGUGGUUUGUCUAGGAAUAAUGCAGAAAAUAUUGCUGUUCUUUUUGGUGAAGAAAAUCGAUUUUGUAUAGUUUAUUUUAACCUAAAUAAAAUGUGAACUGUUUUUAAAAACUUAUAAAAUGUCAUGCUAUGCCAAUAUGUACAACCCUCAAAGUGCUGUUGGAUUAAAGAUUGUUCCUAUGACUUGAUGUAGGCAGUUCUGCACAGGGAUAGAGGACUUCAUACAGUCCCUGUCAUAACUACUCAACUGUCACUGAAGUACACAAUGUGUAAACGGAUGAGUUUAUUUACUGAACACUGAGAAGAAUUUCAUAAUGUUCACAUGAGAAGAUACUAUUCUUUUGAUUUCUUUUAC
rnacentral:lncRNA from 1 species